GGAGGGGUGGCCGAGCGGCUUAAGGCGGUGGUCUUGAAAACCACUGGCCCGGAAGGGUCCGGGGGUUCGAAUCCCUCCCCCUCCGCCA
rnacentral:tRNA from 1 species